UUUUUGAUUGUUUUCAAUUUUCCCGUCAAUAUGACAAAGUAUUGACAGGUUUAUUGGUAAAACAUGUCGGCAAUAUGCGACCAAAAUUCAGAUAAGAAAACUUUCAUAAUUUAUAUGAUUUGCAUGCAAAGUUUGUACUGUUAUCAGAAAGGCGCCAAGAAAAAGGAAUGACAAAGAAGAGCAAACAGAUAAUGCUUGAUAAAUGUGCGUACAAUGUGUGGAGGCCACACUGAAGGACGACGAGUUAACAACAUAAAGCGCCUUUUAACAGCAUCUCCUGAACUCUUCCCUACCCCCCCCCGCUCAUCGCACAUUUCCACACCGCGCGCCUUGUGCGGCUUUUUAUAUGCAAAUUUGUUAAGGGUUAACAUUUGACUGAAGCGACAAAAUUGAUUGACAUUUUGCACCCUUGAGGCUGUUUUCAAUAUACCAAACGACUACCAAAAACACUCCUUCUCCCAUGCCAAGCAUUCUAGAGAGCGAGAGAUGAUUUUCUGCUGAUAAACCCUUUAAGCCAUUUUUAGUUUAUUGUUAUACAACGGCUACACAAAAAAAAACGUAGAAAAAUAAAAAAAAAAUAAAUAAAUUUUCAUAUAAAUUGAAUGUGAGCAGUGGAUG